rnacentral:rRNA from 1 species
GAUGAACGCUGGCGGCGUGCCUAAUACAUGCAAGUCGAGCGAAUGGAUUAAGAGCUUGCUCUUAUGAAGUUAGCGGCGGACGGGUGAGUAACACGUGGGUAACCUGCCCAUAAGACUGGGAUAACUCCGGGAAACCGGGGCCAAUACCGGAUAACAUUUUGAACCGCAUGGGUCGAAAUUGAAAGGCGGCUUCGGCUGUCACUUAUGGAUGGACCGGCGUCGCAUUAGCUAGUUGGUGAGGUAACGGCUCACCAAGGCAACGAUGCGUAGCCGACCUGAGAGGGUGAUCGGCCACACUGGGACUGAGACACGGCCCAGACUCCUACGGGAGGCAGCAGUAGGGAAUCUUCCGCAAUGGACGAAAGUCUGACGGAGCAACGCCGCGUGAGUGAUGAAGGCUUUCGGGUCGUAAAACUCUGUUGCUAGGGAAGAACAAGUGCUAGUUGAAUAAGCUGGCACCUUGACGGUACCUAACCAGAAAGCCACGGCUAACUACGUGCCAGCCGCCGCAGUAA